rnacentral:lncRNA from 1 species
ACCGGAAACUCAUUGACAAUGCUGUUAGAGUUUUUGACAGAAAUGUUUCCGUUUGCAAAAAUCCCUCGGUCAUGCAAAGAUAUGAAGAAAAUGAUAAAAGAUUUAGGCCUUGGGUAUAACAAAAUCCAUAGUUGCCCAAAUGAUUGCAUGUUGUAUUGGGGCGAUCGGAGAAACCAACAGUGCUGUCAUGUAUGUGGCCACUCACGUUGGAUAAGUAGAAACACAGAAGAUGGGAACGACGAUGAAAAUGAUGCACAGUCACGGAAGAAGCCAGUCAAGAUUUUGCGGUAUUUUCCGUUGAUACCAAGGCUUCAAAGGCUUUUCAUGUCGUCGAAGACAGCGAAGACAUUGAUAACCGGAUUAUUACUGAAGUUUUGGGUCCUGAAAGGUAUGGUCGGGUUCGAUUUCAAGGAUAUUUUGUUAGCCCAACCCAAUAUUUUGGAUCCAGCUCGCACCAAUACAUGGCUUCGGGGAGUCAGGCUCAAGCUGAAGUUCAGAGGUUAAAAGACCAGAUGGCUCAGAUGCAAGCGACCACAGUUGAGGUUCAAAGGAAAUAUGAAGAACUCCAGGUACAACUUAAAGCAGAGGCGACAGCGAGGGAAGCAGCGGCGGCAGCUAGGGAAGCAGAGGUUGCAGCGAGAGAAGCAGAGCAGAGCAAAAAGUACGACGAACUCCAGCAGCAGCUUCAGAUUAUGAUGAAGAUGUUUCAGUCACAACUUCCGCCGUCAUAGUGUAUUACAUAAAUAUUUUAAAAUUUAACAUUUUUGCAAAAAUAAUAUGAAUUCACUUUUAUUUAUUGAUAUUAAUAUUAUUUUUAUUCGUUUAAUUUGGAAUAUUAUAUAAAUUUAUUGCUUUUAGCUGGUUUAGAUCUGUUUGCUUUUGAUUUGUUGCUACAGGAGGGCUGAAAAAAUAAAAAAUUUAAUAUAAAAAAAUCCUAAAAAUAGUGGCGUUUUUGUGAAAAAGCGCCACUAAAGACCAUGUUCUUUAGCGGCGUUUUUUUCUAAGCGCCGCUAAAGAACAUGGUCUUUAGCGGCGUUUUUUUUCUAAGCGCCGCUAAAGAACAUGGUCUUUAGUGGCAUUUUUGUUUGUAAACGCCGCAAACGUUUGCGUCAUUUUCGUUAGCGGCCUUUUUUGCGGCGCUUUUGGAAGCGCCGCUAAAGGCCUAAAAACGCCGCUAAAGACCUGUUUUGGUGUAGUGAUAAGCAGUUAAUAUGUUAAAUGAUAUCAUAAUAAUAUAAUCCUUUCAUAUCUCAUUUGUAGUCGUACCGACUGGUUGUCAGCUUCAAAUUCUUGACCUGUAAACUCAAAAAUUCAAUUAAACCUUGAAUCAUCGCUUACAUUUACAUAAUCACAAACUUACUAAUUGCAUAUUCAACUCAACUUCUUUUGCAUUUAAUUCUUCCUAACAUUAUUCAUAAUUAUUCUACCAAGCAUUCAACCCGUAAUGGUAAACCAAAUUCGAUCAACAUAAUCUAACUGAUGAGACAACAACCAAGCAUAUAAUUCGAUUAAUCAAUUUAGCACAUUAAUUCGAUAGUUUCCUAACUACACACUUCCAAGCAAAAAUUUAAUAUGUAUUCUCAGACAAUAGCAAAUUUAAUAUUAAGCUUCAAAUAAUAAUUAGACAUGCAAUUUCGAACAAUAUUUUAAUACAUUUAUUCAGACCACCCCAUUAUGCACAAAAUGGACUACCCUUUUUAUACACAUUGAACAACAUUAUUAUGUUCAAACAUUAACACUACAUAUAACAUCAAAUUGGUCGACUUAGUUAACUCAAUAUAUUAGUAUAAAUAACAGCAAAUUGGACAGUGAAGAUAACACAUUCGAAUAGAUAAAUUUCAAGCUCAGUAACGGUUAAUUCAGGUAGGAAAUUAUAUGCUAAAAUUUCCAUCAUUGGACCGCAAGUAAUGACGACCAAUAUGUUCCUUCAUUUAACACAACAACUCGUAACAUUUAAAACAAAAGAAUAAAUAUACUGAAUUUCCAGCAUUCAAUUCGGAUUACAAAGGUUCAGUUUUAUAUAGCUUUAACUUAUGCUCUGGACAUCAACAAAUCUUCAACAUUAAAUCAGCUUAAUAACAUCACAUUCAGACUGUUUUAUUACACCCAUCCGAACAGCUUAAUUAACACCAAUUUACAGCCCCUUGAACAAUGAAUUUAACUCAUUCGAUCAGCAACAAAAACUAAUAUUUAACAACUAUCGUUUUCUUUUAUUUCAAACAUGCGGCAGACCAAUUCCUCCACAUAUUACAACAUAUUCAAAUCAGCAUUUACAUGCUGAAACAAUGGGUUUUCAAGCUGCAGUUUCCAGCAGUCAUUUAAGCAUUUACUUGUCCAAUUUUUACUUCACUACUAACAACCGAAACUUAGUAAGAAUAACAUAAUAUUUUAGCUACUACACUCAACCCCUAUAACCGUAACUUACCUGCAUGCAAACAUCAGAAUUUAAACAUGAGAAUUUACAAAGUUUCCUUUGAAAAACUCACUCACAAACACAUUCAAUUUGUCCUAUUUUGGACAGCACAAGACAGCAAAAAUCCAUGCUUUUUAAUCCUGUAAUAACUCAAUUAAUUGGUCCUAAAACUGGACAGCAUAAUGCAACGAAUGGGACUGUCUUUACAGCCCCCAAUCGUCAUGAAAAUAGAACCAUUAAUUUGUUCAAAUUUCGGACAGCAUUAAUUUUUACAAUAAACGAAUCUAACUAAUACUAGGCAGUAAACAUUUUCAACCAUUAAAUCAAAACCGAAACAUCAAUGCUAAUUUAAUAGAACUUCUUUUUUUUUUUUGCAUAAAAAUAACAAUACGAGUUUAAAGAAACUCACAAGAAAAUUCCCCAAGAUAAAAUCUAUCUACACAAUUCUGGCAUUCCCUUGGCUGCUUAGACCUUCUACCUCCUUGUUAGCUAAACAUAGUCAACCAUAAUAUAAUCAAAGAUAAAGGCAUCCACAAGAAAAAUAACCAAAUUCUACUAACAUCAAAGAAAAAUUUUACAACUAAUCAAAGAGCUUUUCUUCUCUACAACCCACAGUUACGCCUACCACCCACAAUCCAUCAUCAUUUUUCUUUACAACAAAGUUAAGGAUAGAGGAGAGCUUACAAAAAUUACCGAGCUUGAGGAUACAACUCUUAAACAAGCUAAAUCCUUUGUUUCCUUCAACAUGCAAAUUCUCUCUCCUUUUUCUUUUGGUGAUACGGUUAAAAGAAAGAUGAUGAUGACCAUCUUCCUCUUCUUUCCA